rnacentral:lncRNA from 1 species
CGGGCCUUCCCGAGGCCCUCGGUCUGCAGAGCCCCGCCGGGAGGCCGGCGCCCCAGGACAGCGAGGAGGGCCCGGGGGUAGGGGGACUCCGACCUCCUCGGUCUUGGGGUUCGUUGUUUCUCACAGACAGCGAAGUCACCGAGGCCAGAGACCGACAAAGCGAAGUAGAAGAGGAGAAGCCGAAUUUAAUCUGUCCCAAAGGAGGAAGCGUGAUCAGCUGAGCACCGCUCUAUUCCCGGGGCCACACUGCAAACUCACACUGCGUGGCCCUCUCUGCCCCCAGGUGGGGGUCGGUCUCCUUCAUGGCUCCACUUUGCAGAUGAGGACGCUGAGGCACGUGAAGGAUGAAGGAAAAGAUGAAAAGCAAAAGGAGAACAUAGCAGAGGAUGCUAGAACUGGGAGAUCUGGUGCACGGUCAGUUAAUCCGCUUUCUCUCAUUUUGUUUCGUUAAGGGCUGAAGCAGGUGGCUCUUGCUGUAGGAAUGAGAGGUUCCCAAUUGCAUCUAGGUGGGAAUCAAGCCUCCAUUUUUUCCCUGGAUAUUCCAUUAACUUUGCAGGUUUUCU